CCUACGGGUGGCAGCAGUGAGGAAUAGUGGUCAAUGGGCGCGAGCCUGAACCAGCCAAGUCGCGUGAGGGAUGAAGGUUCUAUGGAUCGUAAACCUCUUUUAUAAGGGAAUAAAGUGUGGGACGUGUCCGAUUUUGUAUGUACCUUAUGAAUAAGGAUCGGCUAACUCCGUGCCAGCAGCCGCGGUAAUACGGAGGAUCCGAGCGUUAUCCGGCUUUAUUGGGUUUAAAGGGUGCGUAGGCGGCCUUUUAAGUCAGCGGUGAAAGUCUGUGGCUCAACCCUAGAAUUGCCGUUGAACCGGGGGGUCUUGAGUAUGUUUGAGGCAGGCUGAAUGCGUGUUGUAGCGGU
rnacentral:rRNA from 1 species